UCUAUGAGCAGCAGCGGGAAGGUCUGGAAACUCAACUGGUCGCAGCCCGCGCUGAGGUCCGGCUGCUGUCUGAGCAGCUGCGUGAUGCCCAGAACAUGAUCUCAAUCAAAGACCGCUCCGGAGGCUGGCGCAACCCGGAUGCUGACUCUGAUGUGCAUGGAAAGGUGUUGGCUCUGGAAAAGCGAG
rnacentral:ribozyme from 1 species